rnacentral:rRNA from 2 species
GGGUUGUGAGGUUAAGCGACUAAGCGUACACGGUGGAUGCCCUGGCAGUCAGAGGCGAUGAAGGACGUGCUAAUCUGCGAAAAGCGCCGGCGAGGUGAUAUGAACCUUUGACCCGGCGAUGUCCGAAUGGGGAAACCCAGUGUGUUCCGACACACUAUCGUUAACUGAAUACAUAGGUUAACGAGGCGAACCGGGGGAACUGAAACAUCUAAGUACCCCGAGGAAAAGAAAUCAACCGAGAUUCCCCCAGUAGCGGCGAGCGAACGGGGAGCAGCCCAGAGUCUGAAUCAGCUUGUGUGUUAGUGGAAGCGUCUGGAAAGUCGCACGGUACAGGGUGACAGUCCCGUACACGAAAAUGCACAGGUUGUGAACUCGAAGAGUAGGGCGGGACACGUGGUAUCCUGUCUGAAUAUGGGGGGACCAUCCUCCAAGGCUAAAUACUCCUGACUGACCGAUAGUGAACCAGUACCGUGAGGGAAAGGCGAAAAGAACCCCGGCGAGGGGAGUGAAAAAGAACCUGAAACCGUGUACGUACAAGCAGUGGGAGCACCUUCGUGGUGUGACUGCGUACCUUUUGUAUAAUGGGUCAGCGACUUAUAUUCUGUAGCAAGGUUAACCGUAUAGGGGAGCCGAAGGGAAACCGAGUCUUAACUGGGCGUUAAGUUGCAGGGUAUAGACCCGAAACCCGGUGAUCUAGCCAUGGGCAGGUUGAAGGUUGGGUAACACUAACUGGAGGACCGAACCGACUAAUGUUGAAAAAUUAGCGGAUGACUUGUGGCUGGGGGUGAAAGGCCAAUCAAACCGGGAGAUAGCUGGUUCUCCCCGAAAGCUAUUUAGGUAGCGCCUCGUGAACUCAUCUUCGGGGGUAGAGCACUGUUUCGGCUAGGGGGCCAUCCCGGCUUACCAACCCGAUGCAAACUACGAAUACCGAAGAAUGUUAUCACGGGAGACACACGGCGGGUGCUAACGUCCGUCGUGAAGAGGGAAACAACCCAGACCGCCAGCUAAGGUCCCAAAGUCAUGGUUAAGUGGGAAACGAUGUGGGAAGGCACAGACAGCCAGGAUGUUGGCUUAGAAGCAGCCAUCAUUUAAAGAAAGCGUAAUAGCUCACUGGUCGAGUCGGCCUGCGCGGAAGAUGUAACGGGGCUAAACCAUGCACCGAAGCUGCGGCAGCGACGCUUAUGCGUUGUUGGGUAGGGGAGCGUUCUGUAAGCCGUUGAAGGUGUGCUGUGAGGCAUGCUGGAGGUAUCAGAAGUGCGAAUGCUGACAUAAGUAACGAUAAAGCGGGUGAAAAGCCCGCUCGCCGGAAGACCAAGGGUUCCUGUCCAACGUUAAUCGGGGCAGGGUGAGUCGACCCCUAAGGCGAGGCCGAAAGGCGUAGUCGAUGGGAAACAGGUUAAUAUUCCUGUACUUGGUGUUACUGCGAAGGGGGGACGGAGAAGGCUAUGUUAGCCGGGCGACGGUUGUCCCGGUUUAAGCAUGUAGGCGGAGGUUCCAGGUAAAUCCGGUACCUUUUAACGCUGAGGUGUGAUGACGAGGCACUACGGUGCUGAAGUAACAAAUGCCCUGCUUCCAGGAAAAGCCUCUAAGCAUCAGGUAACAUCAAAUCGUACCCCAAACCGACACAGGUGGUCAGGUAGAGAAUACCAAGGCGCUUGAGAGAACUCGGGUGAAGGAACUAGGCAAAAUGGUGCCGUAACUUCGGGAGAAGGCACGCUGAUAUGUAGGUGAAGCCCCUGCGGGUGGAGCUGAAAUCAGUCGAAGAUACCAGCUGGCUGCAACUGUUUAUUAAAAACACAGCACUGUGCAAACACGAAAGUGGACGUAUACGGUGUGACGCCUGCCCGGUGCCGGAAGGUUAAUUGAUGGGGUUAGCGGCAACGCGAAGCUCUUGAUCGAAGCCCCGGUAAACGGCGGCCGUAACUAUAACGGUCCUAAGGUAGCGAAAUUCCUUGUCGGGUAAGUUCCGACCUGCACGAAUGGCGUAAUGAUGGCCAGGCUGUCUCCACCCGAGACUCAGUGAAAUUGAACUCGCUGUGAAGAUGCAGUGUACCCGCGGCAAGACGGAAAGACCCCGUGAACCUUUACUAUAGCUUGACACUGAACACUGGUCCUUGAUGUGUAGGAUAGGUGGGAGGCUUUGAAGUGUGGACGCCAGUCUGCAUGGAGCCGUCCUUGAAAUACCACCCUUUAAUGGCUGGUGUUCUAACGUAGACCCGUAAUCCGGGUUGCGGACAGUGUCUGGUGGGUAGUUUGACUGGGGCGGUCUCCUCCCAAAGAGUAACGGAGGAGCACGAAGGUUAGCUAAUCCUGGUCGGACAUCAGGAGGUUAGUGCAAUGGCAUAAGCUAGCUUGACUGCGAGAGUGACGGCUCGAGCAGGUGCGAAAGCAGGUCAUAGUGAUCCGGUGGUUCUGAAUGGAAGGGCCAUCGCUCAACGGAUAAAAGGUACUCCGGGGAUAACAGGCUGAUACCGCCCAAGAGUUCAUAUCGACGGCGGUGUUUGGCACCUCGAUGUCGGCUCAUCACAUCCUGGGGCUGAAGUAGGUCCCAAGGGUAUGGCUGUUCGCCAUUUAAAGUGGUACGCGAGCUGGGUUUAGAACGUCGUGAGACAGUUCGGUCCCUAUCUGCCGUGGGCGCUGGAGAAUUGAGGGGGGCUGCUCCUAGUACGAGAGGACCGGAGUGGACGCAUCACUGGUGUUCGGGUUGUCAUGCCAAUGGCACUGCCCGGUAGCUAAAUGCGGAAAAGAUAAGUGCUGAAAGCAUCUAAGCACGAAACUUGCCCCGAGAUGAGUUCUCCCUGAGACUUUAAGUCUCCUGAAGGAACGUUGAAGACGACGACGUUGAUAGGUCGGGUGUGUAAGCGCAGCGAUGCGUUGAGCUAACCGAUACUAAUGAACCGUGAGGCUUAACCUUACAACGCCGAAGGUGUUU